GCAGUGGUGGUCCAGCGGUAGAAUUCCCGCCUUCCAUGCAGGAGACCUGGGUUUGACUCUGGCCAGUGCG
rnacentral:tRNA from 1 species